AGCGAACGCUGGCGGCAUGCCUAACACAUGCAAGUCGAACGAGAUCUUCGGGUCUAGUGGCGCACGGGUGCGUAACGCGUGGGAAUCUGCCCUUUGGUUCGGAAUAACAGUUGGAAACGACUGCUAAUACCGGAUGAUGACGAAAGUCCAAAGAUUUAUCGCCAGAGGAUGAGCCCGCGUAGGAUUAGCUAGUUGGUGUGGUAAAGGCGCACCAAGGCGACGAUCCUUAGCUGGUCUGAGAGGAUGAUCAGCCACACUGGGACUGAGACACGGCCCAGACUCCUACGGGAGGCAGCAGUGGGGAAUACUGGACAAUGGGCGAAAGCCUGAUCCAGCAAUGCCGCGUGAGUGAUGAAGGCCUUAGGGUUGUAAAGCUCUUUUACCCGGGAUGAUAAUGACAGUACCGGGAGAAUAAGCUCCGGCUAACUCCGUGCCAGCCGCCGCGGUAA
rnacentral:rRNA from 1 species